UCAAGUCGGAUGUGAAAUCCCCGGGCUCAACCUGGGAACUGCAUUCGAAACUGGCAGGCUUGAGUCUUGUAGAGGGGGGUAGAAUUCCAGGUGUAGCGGUGAAAUGCGUAGAGAUCUGGAGGAAUACCGGUGGCGAAGGCGGCCCCCUGGACAAAGACUGACGCUCAGGUGCGAAAGCGUGGGGAGCAAACAGGAUUAGAUACCCUGGUAGUCCACGCCGUAAACGAUGUCUACUUGGAGGUUGUGCCCUUGAGGCGUGGCUUCCGGAGCUAACGCGUUAAGUAGACCGCCUGGGGAGUACGGCCGCAAGGUUAAAACUCAAAUGAAUUGACGGGGGCCCGCACAAGCGGUGGAGCAUGUGGUUUAAUUCGAUGCAACGCGAAGAACC
rnacentral:rRNA from 1 species